rnacentral:rRNA from 1 species
GAUGAACGCUGGCGGCGUGCUUAACACAUGCAAGUCGAACGGUGAAGCAGGAGCUUGCUCUUGUGGAUCAGUGGCGAACGGGUGAGUAACACGUGAGCAACCUGCCCCUGACUCUGGGAUAAGCGCUGGGAACGGCGCCUAAUACUGGAUAUGUGAUGUGACCGCAUGGUCUGCAUCUGGAAAGAAUUUCGGUUGGGGAUGGGCUCGCGGCCUAUCAGCUUGUUGGUGAGGUAAUGGCUCACCAAGGCGUCGACGGGUAGCCGGCCUGAGAGGGGGACCGGCCACACUGGGACUGAGACACGGCCCAGACUCCUACGGGAGGCAGCAGUGGGGAAUAUUGCACAAUGGGCGGAAGUCUGAUGCAGCAACGCCGCGUGAGGGAUGACGGCCUUCGGGUUGUAAACCUCUUUUAGCAGGGAAGAAGCGAAAGUGACGGUACCUGCAGAAAAAGCACCGGCUAACUACGUGCCAGCCGCCGCGGUAA